GAAUAUGGGGGGACCAUCCUCCAAGGCUAAAUACUCCUGACUGACCGAUAGUGAACCAGUACCGUGAGGGAAAGGCGAAAAGAACCCCGGCGAGGGGAGUGAAAAAGAACCUGAAACCGUGUACGUACAAGCAGUGGGAGCACAGGUUUACCUGUGUGACUGCGUACCUUUUGUAUAAUGGGUCAGCGACUUAUAUUCUGUAGCAAGGUUAACCGUAUAGGGGAGCCGAAGGGAAACCGAGUCUUAACCGGGCGUUAAGUUGCAGGGUAUAGACCCGAAACCCGGUGAUCUAGCCAUGGGCAGGUUGAAGGUUGGGUAACACUAACUGGAGGACCGAACCGACUAAUGUUGAAAAAUUAGCGGAUGACCUGUGGCUGGGGGUGAAAGGCCAAUCAAACCGGGAGAUAGCUGGUUCUCCCCGAAAGCUAUUUAGGUAGCGCCUCGUGAAUUCAUCUCCGGGGGUAGAGCACUGUUUCGGCUAGGGGGCCAUCCCGGCUUACCAACCCGAUGCAAACUGCGAAUACCGGAGAAUGUUAUCACGGGAGACACACGGCGGGUGCUAACGUCCGUCGUGAAGAGGGAAACAACCCAGACCGCCAGCUAAGGUCCCAAAGUCAUAGUUAAGUGGGAAACGAUGUGGGAAGGCCCAGACAGCCAGGAUGUUGGCUUAGAAGCAGCCAUCAUUUAAAGAAAGCGUAAUAGCUCACUGGUCGAGUCGGCCUGCGCGGAAGAUGUAACGGGGCUAAACUAUGCACCGAAGCUGCGGCAGCGACACUAUGUGUUGUUGGGUAGGGGAGCGUUCUGUAAGCCUGUGAAGGUGUGUCGUGAGGCAUGCUGGAGGUAUCAGAAGUGCGAAUGCUGACAUAAGUAACGAUAAAGCGGGUGAAAAGCCCGCUCGCCGGAAGACCAAGGGUUCCUGUCCAACGUUAAUCGGGGCAGGGUGAGUCGACCCCUAAGGCGAGGCCGAAAGGCGUAGUCGAUGGGAAACGGGUUAAUAUUCCCGUACUUGGUGUUACUGCGAAGGGGGGACGGAGAAGGCUAUGUUGGCCGGGCGACGGUUGUCCCGGUUUAAGCGUGUAGGUGUGUGUUCCAGGUAAAUCCGGUUCACUUUAACACUGAGGCGUGAUGACGAGGCACUACGGUGCUGAAGCAACAAAUGCCCUGCUUCCAGGAAAAGCCUCUAAGCAUCAGGUAACAUCAAAUCGUACCCCAAACCGACACAGGUGGUCAGGUAGAGAAUACCAAGGCGCUUGAGAGAACUCGGGUGAAGGAACUAGGCAAAAUGGUGCCGUAACUUCGGGAGAAGGCACGCUGACACGUAGGUGAAGUGAUUUACUCAUGGAGCUGAAGUCAGUCGAAGAUACCAGCUGGCUGCAACUGUUUAUUAAAAACACAGCACUGUGCAAACACGAAAGUGGACGUAUACGGUGUGACGCCUGCCCGGUGCCGGAAGGUUAAUUGAUGGGGUCAGCGCAAGCGAAGCUCCUGAUCGAAGCCCCGGUAAACGGCGGCCGUAACUAUAACGGUCCUAAGGUAGCGAAAUUCCUUGUCGGGUAAGUUCCGACCUGCACGAAUGGCGUAAUGAUGGCCAGGCUGUCUCCACCCGAGACUCAGUGAAAUUGAACUCGCUGUGAAGAUGCAGUGUACCCGCGGCAAGACGGAAAGACCCCGUGAACCUUUACUAUAGCUUGACACUGAACAUUGAGCCUUGAUGUGUAG
rnacentral:rRNA from 1 species